AAAAUACGAAACUUCCUCUUCCUUUCCUCCCCGCCUCCUCCCCUCUUUGCCCUCCCCUUUCUCUCUUUUUUUUCCCCCCCCCCUCUCCUUUCUCUUUUCUUCUCCUUCCCUUCUUCCCUUCCAUAACUUCCUGCUUUGAGUUUUGAUCUUUUAAUAAUUGCUUUCGAAAUUGUCUUGUCCCCUUUAUAUCUCUCUCCCCAACUCUUAUCGAUAAGCUUUUAUUAACUUACAAAGAUUGCAACUCUAAAUAAUAAAAAACAGUUUGGCUUUUUAUUAUAUAUUGUAUAUGAAAAAAAGUGGUAUUGGAAAAUAUAAAAACUUUUUGGAAUGUAUGUAUUAUAUAAUAUUGGAUUCUUUUAGAAACCAAGAAAAGAAAAGGCCAUAACUUGUAUUUUCUUCCAUUCUAUUUUAUACUUUAUGAUCUCAAAUUAGACAAGAUUACCCGCUGAACUUAAGC
rnacentral:misc_RNA from 1 species